GGAUAUGUUAUACAUAUAUAAGUUGAGUAUAUGUCCACAAAUUUUGAACCGUUAAAAAUGAACGUAUGAUUUGUUAUGAAUUUUAAGAGGUGACUGGUUCAGAAAUUAUUGAAGUAUCCGAAUUUAUCAUUUUGGUGGAAAAUUCUAGAAUUGGUGAGCCCCACUUUUGGUUGGUGAGAAAUGUGCUCAAAUUAAAUUUCAAAUGUGGUGGGUGGCAAUAGUACCAGGUAAAGCCAUCAGGUAGCAGGUCAAGUCUGCUUCAGCGUGCUACCAUUUUCCUAUAAAUAGAGAGCUAAGUUAGAAUUGAAAAUCACACCAGAAAUAUAAGCUUUCUCUCUCUAUAUUAUCGAGCGUAUUCUUGUGAGUAUUUUGAUACUUUGAGUGUUACUAUACGGUGCAAGUUCCUUCAUCACUAUAUC
rnacentral:lncRNA from 1 species